rnacentral:rRNA from 1 species
GUGCUUACACAUGCAAGUCGAACGAACCUUCGGGUUAGUGGCGGACGGGUGAGUAACGCGUGAGAAUCUGCCCUCAGGAGGGGGACAACAGCUGGAAACGGCUGCUAAUACCCCAUAUGCCGCGAGGUGAAAUGAAUUUCGCCUGAGGAUGAGCUCGCGUCUGAUUAGCUAGUUGGUGUAGGUAAUGGCUCACCAAGGCAUCGAUCAGUAGCUGGUCUGAGAGGAUGAUCAGCCACACUGGGACUGAGACACGGCCCAGACUCUUACGGGAGGCAGCAGUGGGGAAUUUUCCGCAAUGGGCGAAAGCCUGACGGAGCAACGCCGCGUGAGGGAUGAAGGCCUCUGGGCUGUAAACCUCUUUUAUCAAGGAAGAAGAUCUGACGGUACUUGAUGAAUAAGCCACGGCUAAUUCCGUGCCAGCAGCCGCGGUAAUACGGGAGUGGCAAGCGUUAUCCGGAAUUAUUGGGCGUAAAGCGUCCGCAGGCGGCCCUUCAAGUCUGCUGUUAAAAAGUGGAGCUUAACUCCAUCAUGGCAGUGGAAACUGUUGGGCUU